rnacentral:rRNA from 1 species
UGCGUAGGUGGCGUCGUAAGUCAGGUGUGAAAUUUCGGAGCUUAACUCCGAAACUGCAUUUGAUACUGCGGUGCUUGAGGACUGGAGAGGAGACUGGAAUUUACGGUGUAGCAGUGAAAUGCGUAGAGAUCGUAAGGAAGACCAGUGGCGAAGGCGGGUCUCUGGACAGUUCCUGACACUGAGGCACGAAGGCCAGGGAGGCAAACG